GAUGAACGCUAGCGGCAGGCUUAACACAUGCAAGUCGAGGGGUAGAAGGAGCUUGCUCCUUUGAGACCGGCGCACGGGUGCGUAACGCGUAUGCAAUCUACCUUUUGCAGAGGGAUAGCCCAGAGAAAUUUGGAUUAAUACCUCAUAGUAUGUGAGGAUGGCAUCAUUUUCACAUUAAAGUCACAACGGCAAAAGAUGAGCAUGCGUCCCAUUAGCUAGUUGGUAAGGUAACGGCUUACCAAGGCAACGAUGGGUAGGGGUCCUGAGAGGGAGAUCCCCCACACUGGUACUGAGACACGGACCAGACUCCUACGGGAGGCAGCAGU
rnacentral:rRNA from 1 species